rnacentral:rRNA from 1 species
UACGGGAGGAGCAAGCGUUGUUCGGAUUUACUGGGCGUAAAGGGCGCGUAGGCGGCGUGACAAGUCACUUGUGAAAUCUCCGGGCUUAACCCGGAGCGGCCAAGUGAUACUGUCGUGCUAGAGUGCGGAAGGGGCUACUGGAAUUCUCGGUGUAGCGGUGAAAUGCGUAGAUAUCGAGAGGAACACCUGCGGCGAAGGCGGGUAGCUGGGCCGACACUGACGCUGAUGCGCGAAAGCCAGGGGAGCGAACGGG